GAUGAACGCUGGCGGCGUGCCUAAUACAUGCAAGUCGAGCGAACAGACGAGGAGCUUGCUCCUCUGACGUUAGCGGCGGACGGGUGAGUAACACGUGGAUAAGCUACCUAUAAGACUGGGAUAACUUCGUGAAACCGGAGCUAAUACCGGAUAAUAUAUUGAACCGCAUGGUUCAAUAGUGAAAGACGGUUUUGCUGUCACUUAUAGAUGGAUCCGCGCCGCAUUAGCUAGUUGGUAAGGUAACGGCUUACCAAGGCGACGAUGCGUAGCCGACCUGAGAGGGUGAUCGGCCACACUGGAACUGAGACACGGUCCAGACUCCUACGGGAGGCAGCAGUAGGGAAUCUUCCGCAAUGGGCGAAAGCCUGACGGAGCAACGCCGCGUGAGUGAUGAAGGUCUUCGGAUCGUAAAACUCUGUUAUUAGGGAAGAACAAAUGUGUAAGUAACUAUGCACGUCUUGACGGUACCUAAUCAGAAAGCCACGGCUAACUACGUG
rnacentral:rRNA from 1 species